UGGGUAGUGGCUCAGCAGUAGAGCACUUGCCUAGCAUGUGUGAGGCCCUGAGUUCAAUUCUCAGCAUCACAU
rnacentral:tRNA from 1 species